CAGGGGACACUGGGGGACAUUGGGGGACCCCUAAGUGACACUUGGGGACAAUGGGGGACAUUGGGGACCCAUAAGUGACACUGGGGGACAAUGGGGGACACUGGGGACCCAUAAGUGACAUCGGGGACCCCCAGGGGACAUUGGGGGACCCCUAAGUGACACUGGGGGGGACACUGGGGGACACUGGGGGACCCAUAAGUGACACGGGGGGACCCAUAAGUGACACUGGGGACGCCCCAGGGGACAAUGGGGGACAUUGGGGGACCCCUAAGUGACAC
rnacentral:lncRNA from 1 species